GCCAGUUUGGCCUAGUGGUUAAGGCAGCAGUCUAGAAAACUGGAGGCUGUGUGUUUAAGUCCCGCUUUAGCCA
rnacentral:tRNA from 1 species